ACAGUGGAGGUAUUGUGCCUG
rnacentral:miRNA from 1 species